rnacentral:rRNA from 1 species
UACGAAGGGGCUAGCGUUGUUCGGAAUCACUGGGCGUAAAGCGCACGUAGGCGGAUCUUUAAGUCAGAGGUGAAAUCCAAGGCUCAACCUUGGAACUGCCUUGAUACUGGAGAUCUUGAGUCCGGAGAGGUGAGUGGAACUGCGAGUGUAGAGGUGAAAUUCGUAGAUAUUCGCAAGAACACCAGUGGCGAAGGCGGCUCACUGGCCGUACUGACGCUGAGAGCGAAAGUGUGGGAGCGAACAGG